CUUAGCAACCAAGUCUGAUAAUUAACAAAGAGGUUGGGAAUGCUAGACUAGACUAUUAUCAGUUACAAAUAAACCCAAUUCUCAGCCCUCACUUUUUUCUCCCAUCCGUUCCAUUCUUCUUCCUCUCCCAAAUUGCUAUGCUCUCUCCAUAAACAAAGAAACUACAUAAACUCUUUAGGAAUUGAAAUUAGCAAUUGAAGUGAAGGGAGUAUUGCAUCAAAUUGCUGUUAAGGGAUAUUGAAUUCAAUCAACAAGAAGUUUGGAGCAAGGAUUGAAACAAGAAUUCAAAUAAGAACAUCAAACAAGAGGUAUUAACCUUUAUUUGUUAAAGUUCAUAAAAAUUAGAGUAUUAAUGUCUUAUAUUUAUAAAAUUGUUGUGCUUGGACUAUGAGAAUUGAUGUGAUAUAGAUGGUAAGUGAUGCUUGGAGUGAUAAGGAUGAAGAAUUUCGAAAAUUCUUGCUAAACCAUGUUUAAAAGCUUGUGAAAACUAGAAAUUUAUUUGUGUGCAAGGUAUUUCGAAAAUUCUUGCUAAACCAUGUUUAAAAGCUUGUGCAAGGUAUUUAAAAAUCGAAAAUUAAGCAAAGCUUUUUAUAUAUGUAUUAUGAUGUUAACUAAGUUGAUUGAGUGAAUCAAAUCAAGCUCAAAUCACGUUUUAAAGAAUUUCUAAAAACUUGAAUUGAAUGAAAAACUGAGAUGAGGGGGCAUAUUGGAGCUUCUGUAAUAUCAUCUUAAUGAACCCAAAUUGUUCAUGCUAUAUUUUUAUAAAAUAGUAUGUAGUACCAAGUAUAAUAUAUCAAAAUUUGGAAGCAAUUGGAUUAGUAGAUUGUGAGAUAUAAAAUCACAAAGUAGCCAAGAAAUAACAAAACAAUCUGGAAAUCUGGGCAGCCCCAUGUUCCAGAUUUUGGGAAAAAGCACAUUUACCUCAUUGUGGUCGUCGUGUUUUAAGAAAUUAACCACUGUACUUUAAAAAAAAUGCAAUUGACCCACUGUGAUUUUUAAAAAUGCUUAGUUGGACCAUUCUGUCAAAUUUUUUGGACGGACUUUACAUUCUAUCUUCUAUUUUCAUACUUAGCUUUUUAAAAAAAAUAAAAAACAAUUAAAUGCUGAUUUGGCUUCCAACUUGAUUUUUUCACUCUUUCCUCUCAUUCAUCUUACCCUCAUCUUUAACCCAGAUCCAAACAAGAAACAACACUUCAAACUCAAAAUUUACAAGUAACAAAAUGAAAUCACAACAAAUAAACAACUAAAAAUAGAAAAACUUGCAAACAAACAAACAAUCUAUUUCGCUAAAUCUGAUUGUUCUCCGAUUAAAUCAAAUCAAAUCUCACCACGAAAAACUUGCAAAUUUUUGGAGAAAAUUCUAAUUCAUGAAAUCAAAGAGAGAAUCAGACAAACCUAACAAGAUUGGAGAAGAAGAAAGUAAGGUAAAAUUCUCCGAUAUUGAGAAUCAGACAUACUUAAUUCUUUUUCAAGCACAUGACUAAACACCCAGUAUGAGAUUGACUUGCCGGAGAAGAUAAAAUAAUCGGAGAAGACAAGCACAUUUGUAUAUCAUAUGUUUGCACACACACACACACACACACACACACACACACACACACAUAUAUAUAUAUAUAUAUAUAUAUGGAAGUAUUUAUGAGCAUGAAUUGAUAAUUGGGGUUCUUUGUUAUUGAUUAGAUGGGAUUAUCGCCAUUAAUGGCGUGAGAAGGAGAGGACCCCAAAACAGAGAAGGGCAAAAUAAUUACAAAGACACAUGAAAAAAGAAGAUAAAAUUAGACUGUAGUGGAGGAAGAUGAUGAGAUGAAGGAUUUGUGGGUAAUGGAAUUAAACCCAGAUCUAAAGGAACUAAUCCAGGUGAAGAAAGAACUCAGAG
rnacentral:lncRNA from 1 species